AAGUGUUACAGCUCUUUUAGAAUUUGUCUAGCAGGUUUUCUGUCCUCACUGGAAGACCCCA
rnacentral:snRNA from 1 species